AGGACGAACGCUGGCGGCGCGCCUAACACAUGCAAGUCGAACGAGCGAGAGAGAGCUUGCUUUCUCGAGCGAGUGGCGAACGGGUGAGUAACGCGUGAGGAACCUGCCUCAAAGAGGGGGGACAACAGUUGGAAACGACUGCUAAUACCGCAUAAGCCCACGACCCGGCAUCGGGUUGAGGGAAAAGGAGCAAUCCGCUUUGAGAUGGCCUCGCGUCCGAUUAGCUAGUUGGUGAGGUAACGGCCCACCAAGGCGACGAUCAGUAGCCGGCCUGAGAGGGUGAACGGCCACAUUGGGACUGAGACACGGCCCAAACUCCUACGGGAGGCAGCAGUGGGGAAUAUUGCACAAUGGGGGAAACCCUGAUGCAGCGACGCCGCGUGAGUGAAGAAGUAUUUCGGUAUGUAAAGCUCUAUCAGCAGGGAAGAAAAUGACGGUACCUGACUAAGAAGCCCCGGCUAACUACGUG
rnacentral:rRNA from 1 species